AUGAACGCUGGCGGCGUGCCUAAUACAUGCAAGUCGAGCGAACAGACGAGGAGCUUGCUCCUCUGACGUUAGCGGCGGACGGGUGAGUAACACGUGGAUAACCUACCUAUAAGACUGGGAUAACUUCGGGAAGCCGGAGCUAAUACCGGAUAAUAUAUUGAACCGCAUGGUUCAAUAGUGAAAGACGGUUUUGCUGUCACCUAUAGAUGGAUCCGCGCCGCAUUAGCUAGUUGGUAAGGUAACGGCUUACCAAGGCAACGAUGCGUAGCCGACCUGAGAGGGUGAUCGGCCACACUGGAACUGAGACACGGUCCAGACUCCUACGGGAGGCAGCAGUAGGGAAUCUUCCGCAAUGGGCGAAAGCCUGACGGAGCAACGCCGCGUGAGUGAUGAAGGUCUUCGGAUCGUAAAACUCUGUUAUUAGGGAAGAACAAAUGUGUAAGUAACUAUGCACGUCUUGACGGUACCUAAUCAGAAAGCCACGGCUAACUACGUG
rnacentral:rRNA from 1 species